rnacentral:lncRNA from 1 species
UCUAUAUAUUAUGGACCCUAUUCAAACAUCACAAUCGUCAGAGGAUAAAAAUUUGAGGCAUGCACUGAAAUUAAAAAGUUUUGCAAGGGAUUUCAAAGAAGCACUCAAAAUAAAGCUGUCUGGUUGGAAUUCCGAUAUAUCUAAAUGGCAACCUUUAUUUCCGUUUAGUAUUCCACCGAGUAUAGAUGGUAAUGAAUUCAUAAGAAAAACUUUUAUUUUUGUUAUCACUAUAUUUUUUAUUUAUUAAUUUAAAAAAUUGCAGGAAUGUGUCUGCCUAUUUUGUUUUUCAUUUUAUG